rnacentral:lncRNA from 10 species
UCCUCCUCCGCACAGCUCCGGUUGCGGGGAGGCCCGGGUGGGUACCCGGCGCUCCGGCUCCCAGUCUCCUGGGCUUCUCCAGUCCUUCAGCGCCGUUCUCCGGUCACAGGGAAUGAAAGCGAGGAAGAAGGAAACGGUGUCGAGAAUUGCGAAGAGAGAAAGCAUAGAAAACCCACAUUAGAGGCACUCCCAGAGCAGAAACCCUUCGGAGCAUCCCGACUUCCUCGGCCCGCGUGCAAUCCAGGCAAAAUUGAGGUUGUCUCUGAGCCGCCCUCCCUAAGCAGGUCGGAAAGCCCCCGAAUCAUCCCAGGUCCCGCCGCGCUGCACUCGCAACCUGGGGUGGAGGUCCCUCUAGUGGUUGGCACCAAACAAAAGUUCUGUCUUAUGAAGAGCCGAGGUCAGGAAGCAUUUCCCUGUGCCCAGCGCCAAGGUCUGGGACCUUAGGUCCAAGAAAAGCGUUGGCAAUGUCUGACCACAGGAAUGGGUUCUCGAACUGGGGAGGACUGAAGCUGGAGAUCUGGUCCAGCCCCUACCUCCAGCGUGUGGCCUGAACCCGUUUUGGUUGUACUGCUAUGUUGUGGCCCUGCCCAGGCCUCCAAGGACUGGCUGCUGUUAAGCUGUUUAAAAUCCCUGUAGGCCUCAGAUGGCAGCGACACCAGGGACUCGGCAUAGUCCCCAGCUCUGGCAGGAGUCACCACAGCCCUAGCCUUUAGUUCUCUACAGGCUGGAGUGUCGACAAACUCCACAGGACACAACUUUUUCAAACCAAAUUUACCCUCGCGGUCUGAAAUGACCAGUAGGCCCAGGAGAAUUUUACAUGUGAACAGAACCUAACCCACCCUGGCAAAUAUGAGACGUGUGGUCACUGCGGGAACCUGGCCAGCAGCAGACCAAAGCACAGCCAGCAGGGGAAGGCUGGGGCCCGCAAGAGUUGUGUUACAACAGGACACCCUUCAGUUCUCUUUCACUUCCUUAAAAUAGCAGCAGAGCGACUUUUGUAGACGCAGGCUGCCACAGUUCACACAAGGUCAUGGCUGUUUCCGAAUCCCACCCUUUAUUGCCCUAGCGGAGCCACUCCCCUUACCUCCGCCCCCAGAAACUGCUAGCCUGUUCUUAAAUUGAUACAGUUACCUUUUUAAAUGUUCUAAGUCACCGGCUCUGGAGCUUCUUUGCACUUUGGAACCAACUUGCGGGAAGGAACUUUAAAAAUACUGAUAUCUCGAUCCAUCCCCAGAGGUUCUGAUUUAAUGGUCUUGGGGAUAUGGCCACGGCAUGAGGACUGUUAAAACUCCGCAGGUGAUUCUUAUGUGCAACAAAGUUUAAGAACCACUGAUGUAGGCCAUGUCGAUGUCAGUCUUCACUUAAAUCCAACAAGACCCCAGAGCUAAAACGUUCACCUGAAAGAAACCCCAUUCCCAGGCCUGCAUACUGACCUGCGCUGGCUCACAAGAAGCAAAGUGGUCCCUUAACAGGGGCUUCCUGGAGAAAAUGUCUUGACCUAAAAGAGUGAU